CUCUUCCCUUCCUGAUAGUUGGCUACCGGGCUGCGUGCCGUUGGCCAUCCUGGGCUGUGUUUUAUUUUAUUUGCUCCCCUCUCUCUUGUCUUCCUCCCUUUCUGCAUCUACCCCUGUGGGCUUCUGCUUGAAGUCACAGCGCAUAGGCAUACCUUCUGGCUGGAGCCUGGGCUCUGGCCCCUUGUAGCUGUGCCCACCCAGCCCCUGCCCUUCCCCUGGACCAAGGAGACCAGAAGGGGGCAGGCUGUUCCCGAAGUCCAGCAUAGCUGGAGCUUGGGUUGCAGGCAAGGAGAAGACCAGACCGAUUUGCAAGCCACAGAGGCCCUUGCAACCCGUGCCGGGAAGGAGCAUCCAGUUUUGCAAGGAGACAGAGUCAGAGGGCACAGGGACGGCAAUGAGAUGGGCAUGUCCAUCAGAGAUGUGCAAGCGUCCGAUUUCCGCUCAGCCUCUCGCCUGUUAGAAUGAUCGAGCCGAUUGCAGCUGUUUGGUGGCCGGCCGUGGCCCUGAUUUUCCCCUGGGUCUCCAGGAAGCUGUGGAUUUUAUUGUCAUCUCAGGCUUCGUUAUAUGGGGAGGGGAUAUACCCGGGGCCAGAGGGUGCUGUCAGAAAGAUCAGCUCCAGUCUGGCAGGCAUUGUGGAGAAGAUGAAAGAGAGUCCGGUGUGAAUGUAAAGAAUGUUUCUUUUCUUUCCCUUGGUGAAUCCCUGGAAGACCUCACAGUUUACUCUUUGUGCCCUUGGAUAAACUGCUACUAAGUUUCACUUAAGAAAUCUGAUUUUGUGUGUGUGUGUGUGUGUGUGUGUGUGUGUGUGUGUGUGUGUUUUCCUCCUCCACAUACGCAUAGACACACUGCACUCUUGAAGUUUGAUUUCUUUCUUUCUUUUUUUAACUGACUCAUUUGAAAUGUUGGUUUUUCGGCAUGAAAUUCCUCAUACUUCGCAUUACUCGGAUAACUCAGAGGGCUUUUGCAGACAGUGGCAGUGACUUUGAAAAAGCCAGUUCACAGCAUCCAGACUGCCCCCGGCUUCCAGCAGGCUUGGAGGCGUAGCUUUUCUUUCUGUCCAAAUGUUUUG
rnacentral:lncRNA from 1 species